AUUGAACGCUGGCGGAAUGCUUUACACAUGCAAGUCGAACGGUAGAGGGGGCAACCCCUUGAGAGUGGCGAACGGGUGAGUAAUAUAUCGGAACGUGCCCGGUCGUGGGGAUAACGUAGCGAAAGCUACGCUAAUACUGCAUACGAUCUACGGAUGAAAGCGGGGGAUCGCAAGACCUCGCGCGAUUGGAGCGGCCGAUAUCAGAUUAGGUAGUUGGUGAGGUAAAGGCUCACCAAGCCGACGAUCUGUAGCUGGUCUGAGAGGACGACCAGCCACACUGGACUGAGACACGGCCCAGACUCCUACGGAGGCAGCAGUGGGAAUUUUGGACAAUGGGCGCAAGCCUGAUCCAGCAAUGCCGCGUGCAGGAUGAAGGCCUGGUGU
rnacentral:rRNA from 1 species